rnacentral:rRNA from 1 species
GGCAGCAGUAGGGAUUCUUCCGCAAUGGACAAAAGUCUGACGGAGCAACGCCGCAUGAGUGAAGAAGGUCUUCGGAUCGUAAAACUCAGUUGUUAAAGAAGAACAAGGAUUAGAGUAACUGCUCAUCCCCUGACGGUAUUUGACGAGAAAGCCACGGCUAACUACGUGCCAGCAGCCGCGGUAAUACGUAGGUGGCAAGCGUUGUCCGGAUUUAUUGGGAUAAAGCGAGCGCAGGCGGUUCUUUAAGUAUGAUAAAAAGCCCCCGGCUCAACCGGGCCCUUCGAUUACUGAAACUGGAGAACUGAGUGCAGAAGAGGAGAGUGGAAUUCCACGUGUAGCGGUGAAAGGCGUAGAUAUGUGGAGGAACACCAGGGGAGAAGGGGACUCUCUGGUCAGUAACAGACUCGAGGCUAAAAAGCGGGGGGAGCAAACAGGAUUAAAUAACCUUAAAUCCAAGGGGGAAUUCCCCCUUGGGGGCAGCCCGGGGGAUCCCCUUUUUUAAAACCGCCCCCCCCCCGGAAGCCAAAUUUAAAAAUUAUUU